rnacentral:rRNA from 1 species
CCUGAAGGAACGUUGAAGACGACAACGUUGAUAGGACGGGUGUGGAAGCGCAGCGAUGCGUUGAGCUAACCGGUACUAAUGAACCGUGAGGCUUAACCUUACAACGACGAAG